rnacentral:rRNA from 1 species
GAAAACUGGCGGCGUGCCUAAUACAUGCAGUCGAGCGAACGGACGAGAAGCUUGCUUCUCUGAUGUUAGCGGCGGACGGGUGAGUAACACGUGGAUAACCUACCUAUAAGACUGGGAUAACUUCGGGAAACCGGAGCUAAUACCGGAUAAUAUUUUGAACCGCAUGGUUCAAAAGUGAAAGACGGUCUUGCUGUCACUUAUAGAUGGAUCCGCGCUGCAUUAGCUAGUUGGUAAGGUAACGGCUUACCAAGGCAACGAUGCAUAGCCGACCUGAGAGGGUGAUCGGCCACACUGGAACUGAGACACGGUCCAGACUCCUACGGGAGGCAGCAGUAGGGGAUCUUCCGCAAUGGGCGAAAGCCUGACGGAGCAACGCCGCGUGAGUGAUGAAGGUCUUCGGACCGUAAAACUCUGUUAUUAGGGAAGAACAUAUGUGUAAGUAACUGUGCACAUCUUGACGGUACCUAAUCAGAAAGCCACGGCUAACUACGUGCCAGCAGCCGCGGUAAU